CAAAACAUGUCUUAUUGUAAAUAAUUUUAAGUCGAUCUGCCCAAUGAUAAUAUUAAAUGGCUGCAGUAUAAUUAACUGUACAAAGGUAGCAUAAUCAAUUGAUUUUUAAAUGAAAUCUGGAAUGAAAGGAUUAAUGAAAUAUAUACUGUCUCAUAUAUAUUUUAUGAAUUUAAAAUUUUAAUAAAAAUGUUAAAAUUUUUUUAUGGGACGAUAAGACCCUAUAGAAUUUUAUAUAAAAUUAUUUUUAUAUUAAAUAUAAAAUUUGAUUUUAUAUUUGAUUGGGAGAAUUAUUAAAUUUAAUAAAUUUUGAUUUUAAAUAACUUUAAUUUAAGAAAAUUAAAAAUUGAUCUUUAAUUUAAAAUUUAUAGAAUAAAUUACCUUAGGGAUAACAGCGUUAUAUUUUUUUAUAGAUCACAUAGAAAAAAAUGAUUGCGACCUCGAUGUUGAAUUAAGAUAAAUUUUAAAUGUAGAAGUUUAAUAAUUAAGUCUGUUCGACUUUUAAAAUCUUACAUGAUUUGAGUUCAAAUCGACGUAGUC
rnacentral:rRNA from 1 species